AGCAGCCGCGGUAAUUCCAGCUCCAAUAGCGUAUAUUAAAGUUGUUGCAGUUAAAGAGCUCGUAGUUGAAUUUCGGGGUCAGUAGGCUGGUCGUGCCACGGGUAUGUACUGGUCUUACUGAUUCCUCCUUCCUGAUGAGCCGUAAUGCCAUUAAUUUGGUGUUGCGGGGAAUCUGGACUGUUACUUUGAAAAAAUUGAGUGUUUAAAGCAGGCUAACGCUUGAAUACAUUAGCAUGGAAUAAUGAAAUAGGACGAUCGAUCCUAUUUUGUGGUUUCUAGGAUUGACGUAAUGAUUAAUAGGGAUAGUUGGGGCACUAGUAUUCAAUUGUCAGAGGUGAAAUUCUUGGAUUUAUUGAAGACUAACUACUGACGAAAGCAUUUGCCAAGGAUGUUUCAUUAACCAAGAACGAAGUUAGGGAUCGAAGACGAUCAGAUACCGUCGUUAGUACCUUAACCAUUAAACUAUUGACCGACGUAGGGAUCGGGAUGAUGUUUAAUUUUUAUGUACUCAGUUCGGCGU
rnacentral:rRNA from 1 species